rnacentral:miRNA from 1 species
UGAGGCAGGAGAAUUGCUUGAACCCAGGAGGCGGAGGCUGCAGUGAGCCGAGAUCAAGCCACUGCACUCCAGCCUGGGUGACAGAGCGAGACUCUAUCUC